CCCUUAGACGUUCUGGGCCGCACGCGCGCUACACUGACCAGUGCAACAAGCAUCCGUCCUUGGCCGACAGGCUCGGGCAAUCUUUGAACGCUGGUCGUGAUGGGGAUAGACUUUUGCAAUUUUUGGUCUUCAACGAGGAAUUCCUAGUAAACGCAAGUCAUCAACUUGCAUUGAUUACGUACCUGCCCUUUGUACACACCGCCCGUCGCACCUACCGAUUGAAUGGUCCGGUGAAGCCUCCGGAUUGGCGCGCACCUCGGUGCCGCCGAGAAGUUGGCUAAACCUUACCAUUUAGAGGAAGGUGAAGUCGUAACA
rnacentral:rRNA from 1 species